CUACGGGCCGCAGCAGCAAGGAAUAUUGGUCAAUGGACGCAAGUCUGAACCAGCCAUGCCGCGUGAAGGAUUAAGGUCCUCUGGAUUGUAAACUUCUUUUAUUUGGGACGAAAAAGGGUCUUUCUAGACCAACUGACGGUACCAGAUGAAUAAGCACCGGCUAACUCCGUGCCAGCAGCCGCGGUAAUACGGAGGGUGCAAGCGUUAUCCGGAUUCACUGGGUUUAAAGGGUGCGUAGGCGGGUAGGUAAGUCAGUGGUGAAAUCCUAGAGCUUAACUCUAGAACUGCCAUUGAUACUAUCUAUCUUGAAUAUUGUGGAGGUAAGCGGAAUAUGUCAUGUAGCGGUGAAAUGCUUAGAUAUGACAUAGAACACCUAUUGCGAAGGCAGCUUACUACGCAUAUAUUGACGCUGAGGCACGAAAGCGUGGGGAUCAAACAGGAUUAGAUACCCUAGUAGUC
rnacentral:rRNA from 1 species